GGCGUGUGACUGCGUACCUUUUGUAUAAUGGGUCAGCGACUUAUAUUCUGUAGCAAGGUUAACCGAAUAGGGGAGCCGAAGGGAAACCGAGUCUUAACUGGGCGUUAAGUUGCAGGGUAUAGACCCGAAACCCGGUGAUCUAGCCAUGGGCAGGUUGAAGGUUGGGUAACACUAACUGGAGGACCGAACCGACUAAUGUUGAAAAAUUAGCGGAUGACUUGUGGCUGGGGGUGAAAGGCCAAUCAAACCGGGAGAUAGCUGGUUCUCCCCGAAAGCUAUUUAGGUAGCGCCUCGUGAAUUCAUCUCCGGGGGUAGAGCACUGUUUCGGCAAGGGGGUCAUCCCGACUUACCAACCCGAUGCAAACUGCGAAUACCGGAGAAUGUUAUCACGGGAGACACACGGCGGGUGCUAACGUCCGUCGUGAAGAGGGAAACAACCCAGACCGCCAGCUAAGGUCCCAAAGUCAUGGUUAAGUGGGAAACGAUGUGGGAAGGCCCAGACAGCCAGGAUGUUGGCUUAGAAGCAGCCAUCAUUUAAAGAAAGCGUAAUAGCUCACUGGUCGAGUCGGCCUGCGCGGAAGAUGUAACGGGGCUAAACCAUGCACCGAAGCUGCGGCAGCGACGCUNNNNNNNNNNNNGAAGGUGUGCUGUGAGGCAUGCUGGAGGUAUCAGAAGUGCGAAUGCUGACAUAAGUAACGAUAAAGCGGGUGAAAAGCCCGCUCGCCGGAAGACCAAGGGUUCCUGUCCAACGUUAAUCGGGGCAGGGUGAGUCGACCCCUAAGGCGAGGCCGAAAGGCGUAGUCGAUGGGAAACAGGUUAAUAUUCCUGUACUUGGUGUUACUGCGAAGGGGGGACGGAGAAGGCUAUGUUGGCCGGGCGACGGUUGUCCCGGUUUAAGCGUGUAGGCUGGUUUUCCAGGCAAAUCCGGAAAAUCAAGGCUGAGGCGUGAUGACGAGGCACUACGGUGCUGAAGCAACAAAUGCCCUGCUUCCAGGAAAAGCCUCUAAGCAUCAGGUAACAUCAAAUCGUACCCCAAACCGACACAGGUGGUCAGGUAGAGAAUACCAAGGCGCUUGAGAGAACUCGGGUGAAGGAACUAGGCAAAAUGGUGCCGUAACUUCGGGAGAAGGCACGCUGAUAUGUAGGUGAAGUCCCUUGCGGAUGGAGCUGAAAUCAGUCGAAGAUACCAGCUGGCUGCAACUGUUUAUUAAAAACACAGCACUGUGCAAACACGAAAGUGGACGUAUACGGUGUGACGCCUGCCCGGUGCCGGAAGGUUAAUUGAUGGGGUCAGCGCAAGCGAAGCUCUUGAUCGAAGCCCCGGUAAACGGCGGCCGUAACUAUAACGGUCCUAAGGUAGCGAAAUUCCUUGUCGGGUAAGUUCCGACCUGCACGAAUGGCGUAAUGAUGGCCAGGCUGUCUCCACCCGAGACUCAGUGAAAUUGAACUCGCUGUGAAGAUGCAGUGUACCCGCGGCAAGACGGAAAGACCCCGUGAACCUUUACUAUAGCUUGACACUGAACAUUGAGCCUUGAUGUGUAGGAUAGGUGGGAGGCUUUGAAGUGUGGACGCCAGUCUGCAUGGAGCCGACCUUGAAAUACCACCCUUUAAUGUUUGAUGUUCUAACGUUGACCCNNNNNNNNNNNNNNNNNNNNNNNNNNNNNNNNNNNNNNNNNNNNNNNNNNNNNNNGGGUUGCGGACAGUGUCUGGUGGGUAGUUUGACUGGGGCGGUCUCCUCCUAAAGAGUAACGGAGGAGCACGAAGGUUGGCUAAUCCUGGUCGGACAUCAGGAGGUUAGUGCAAUGGCAUAAGCCAGCUUGACUGCGAGCGUGACGGCGCGAGCAGGUGCGAAAGCAGGUCAUAGUGAUCCGGUGGUUCUGAAUGGAAGGGCCAUCGCUCAACGGAUAAAAGGUACUCCGGGGAUAACAGGCUGAUACCGCCCAAGAGUUCAUAUCGACGGCGGUGUUUGGCACCUCGAUGUCGGCUCAUCACAUCCUGGGGCUGAAGUAGGUCCCAAGGGUAUGGCUGUUCGCCAUUUAAAGUGGUACGCGAGCUGGGUUUAGAACGUCGUGAGACAGUUCGGUCCCUAUCUGCCGUGGGCGCUGGAGAACUGAGGGGGGCUGCUCCUAGUACGAGAGGACCGGAGUGGACGCAUCACUGGUGUUCGGGUUGUCAUGCCAAUGGCACUGCCCGGUAGCUAAAUGCGGAAGAGAUAAGUGCUGAAAGCAUCUAAGCACGAAACUUGCCCCGAGAUGAGUUCUCCCUGACCCUUUAAGGGUCCUGAAGGAACGUUGAAGACGACGACGUUGAUAGGCCGGGUGUGUAAGCGCAGCGAUGCGUUGAGCUAACCGGUACUAAUGAACCGUGAGGCUUAACCUU
rnacentral:rRNA from 1 species